rnacentral:rRNA from 1 species
UACGUGAGGGUGCGAGCGUUAAUCGGAAUUACUGGGCGUAAAGCGUGCGCAGGCGGUUCGUUGUGAUACGGCGGUGAAAGCCCCGGGCUUAACCUGGGAAUGGCCGUUGAAACUGGCGAACUGGAGUGUGGCAGAGGGGGGUGGAAUUCCACGUGUAGCAGUGAAAUGCGUAGAGAUGUGGAGGAACACCGAUGGCGAAGGCAGCCUCCUGGGCCAGCACUGACGCUCAUGCACGAAAGGCGUGGGGAGCAAACAGG